GCUCUGGAGAAGCUCACAGACGUGAGGGCCGAAGGUGCAAGGCGCUGAAGAAACGGCGCCAAAUCUCUCAGGCAAAAGGACAGGGCA
rnacentral:ncRNA from 1 species